rnacentral:lncRNA from 1 species
GUUCCUCCAAGGACAUGGAGCUGCUGAGGGCAGCGUCUACAUACAAAACGGGCAUCACAGCGUUUCCUGUGAUCCAGGGCUGAGUCGAAGCUGUCUUGGGAAAUGCAGUUCACUGGUGAAUGAUGACGGAAGUGACAUAGCCCGCAUGCAAUGAAUCUGAAAGAACCGAUGAUUAUACAACAAACAAUUCAGUUUAAACUCUGUACUAGAGAAGGAAGUGGCAGCCCAUUCCAGUACUCUUGCCUGGAAAAUCCCAAGGACGGAGGAGCCUGGAAGGCUACAGUCCAUGGGGUUGCAAAGAGUUGGACACAACCGAGAGACUUCACUUCAGAGAUUACAUAACAACAAUGAAUCCUGUUUGAGGACAGUUUCUCCUUCCUGGAAAACUUCGACUAAUCCUGAUCUCUUAAAAUGUAUAUUAAGGGAGUUGGUCUGGUAGGAUCUUUCUAUUGUUAAGUUCUAAUCCUGUUAUCCUAAAAUGCAAAUUAUGGGAGUGGAUCUGGUAAAAUUUUCACAAACUUGAG